ensembl:lncRNA
CGGAGAGGUCACAGCCUCACAUAUAGAACCUGUAUUUGUGCUUUACGGGUUCUGGGAUUUGAAACCACAGGCAGUCACUGAACUUUUGGCUGCCUUAGGUAACGGCGUGCUGUGACCAAGUGGCUGGACAAGGUCUCUGCUCUGCUCUACGUGAUGGGAUAGAAGUGUGACACCAGUCUGGGACCCAAGGCUUCUGAAAGAAGAAGAAAAAAAGGGAGAAGACAGAGCUGAAGGUGAUCCAAAGGACAGGGUUGCCCUGCUGGCCCUAUAAGAGCAGUUGGGUGGCUGCGUAACGCUGCCAGCAUGUAUAUAUUAUCCAUCUCUCCCCACCCCGGCCUAACCCAGAUGCUGCAUGACUGAUUGUACCCCAGAGAAGCUCCAGCCUCUUCAGAAUCAGAGUAUCGGAAGUGAGGCUGAGAAGAAAGCAUUUCACCCACCAAAGGAUAUACAGCCUGGAGAUCUGUCUGGAGAGCUUCCAAAAACCACAAUUUUAUCACUGUUCUGCCACGCAAUUGAAUGGAUUGAUUUAAUCUGUCACAGUCUUCCUACAUAUUCUCUACUUCUGCACUGGAGAAGAAAUGGGUGAGUAUCAUAUUGCCUUGUGCCUGUCCCUGCUUACAGACAUAUUAGCAAGCUCAGAGCAGACUCUGGAGAUUCCAGGUGCCAAUUCCUUGUUUCACUUUUAUCACUGGAAUUCCAGGAUGAGUUCAGCCCAGCCUCUAAUGAUGCCAGUAUUGAUUAAUGUUCUGCAUUUUGGAUUUACCUGAAAGUGCGUGGUAGUCUUUGCAAUCUUUUGUGUGUCCUAUUUGGUG